rnacentral:rRNA from 1 species
ACGAGGUUAGUCUGGUAGCAAUACUGGGCUGACCUAGUGGCGAACGGGUGCGUAACACGUGACCAACCUGCCUGAAAGUGGGGGAUAGCUCGGCGAAAGCCGGAUUAAUACCGCAUGUGAUCGCAAGAUUAAAGCAGCAAUGCGCUUUUAGAGGGGGUCGCGGCCUAUCAGCUAGUUGGUGAGGUAAAGGCUUACCAAGGCAGCGACGGGUAGCUGGUCUGAGAGGACGACCAGCCACACUGGAACUGAGACACGGUCCAGACACCUACGGGUGGCAGCAGUCGAGAAUUUUUCUCAAUGGGGGAAACCCUGAAGGAGCGACGCCGCGUGGAGGAUGAAGGCUUUCGGGUUGUAAACUCCUGUCAUUUGGGAACAAAACUCGCAAGAGCUUGAUAGUACCAGAAGAGGAAGAGACGGCUAACUCUGUGCCAGCAGCCGCGGUAAUACAGAGGUCUCAAGCGUUGUUCGGAUUCAUUGGGCGUAAAGGGCGCGUAGGCGGUGGGGUAAGUCUGGUGUGAAAUCUCGGAGCUCAACUUCGAAAUUGCACUGGAUACUGCUCUGCUAGAGGGCUGGAGAGGAGAUCGGAAUUCACGGUGUAGCAGUGAAAUGCGUAGAUAUCGUGAGGAAGACCAGUGGCGAAGGCGGAUCUCUGGACAGCUCCUGACGCUGA